CACCCGGCCCCCUAUAUACCACAUUUUCUUUAUCCACUCAUUGAUUGAUGGGCAUUUGGGCUGGUUCCAUAUUUUUGCAAUUGCGAAUUUUGCUACUAUAAACAUGCGUGUACAAGUGUCUUUUUUGUAUAAUGAUUUCUUUUCCUCUGGGAUACCUAGUAGUGGGACUGCUGGAUCAAAUGGUAGUUCUACUUUUGGUUCUUUAAGGAAUCUUCACGCUGUUUUCCAUAGUGGUUGUACUAGUUUACAUUCUCACCAACAGUGUAAAAGUGUUCCCUUCAUACCACAUCCAUGCCAACGUCUAUUAUUUUUUGAUUUUUUGUUUAUGGCCAUUCUUGUAGGAGUAAGGUAGUAGUAUUCCAUUGUGGUUUUGACUUGUAUUUCCCUGAUAAUUAGUGAUGUUGAGCAUUUUUUCAUGUUUGUUGGCCAUGACAAUUUUUUUUUUUAGUAUCAAUAUGUCCCAUGCAAUAUUUGGGACAUACAUGUGCAAAAAUAUUACUCAUUUAUCUGAAAUUCAAAUUUAACUAGACGUCUUGAAUUUUAUCACAUAACUCUCUCUACUCCCAUGAGGCCCCCAUGAAUGAGGUGAGGUUGUAUCCCAGGAGAUAACAGUAAGUGCAAAGUUUUCCAGGCAGAAAUUGAUCCUAGUUUGCUCAGGAAGAAACCCUGUGUGGCUGAAAUAGAGGGAAUGGGGACGGGGAAAGGUGGGGGUUUGGGGGUGGUAAAGAUGACCCAGUGGAGGUGGGCAGGGGCCAGAUCUUGUGGGGCUCCAGGCAAGUGUGAAGAGUUUGCAUUUUAUUCUGAUCUUUGGAGUUUUAAAGAAAGCUCUCUCAGUACUACAAAGUAUUCAUUUCCAUGAAUAUUCCAAUAUAGUACUGUAUUUCCCAAAGCAGUCUCCACUGACAUUAAGAACAGACUUUAUGAUAGGAGAGAGUAGGUGCCCCUGCCCUGGGAGAAAAAGAGUGAUAUCCCCUCUAACUCCACCUGACCUCCCUUCUCUCCCUCCACCCCAUUCACACUUUCUUCAGUUUUCCUAACACCAUUUCACAAAACCUUAAUAAAUGAGCUUAAAAUGUUACUGGGAGAAAAGACUUAGGUACUCAAAUUCUUACUAGAAGGUAAGUGACUGCUAGACUGCAUAUAGUAUAGAUUAGGUGAAGAUGAGAAAAUAAUGAAAAAGGGAAAUUUGACAGUGCUGGCCAAGUGCUGGCAGCUUGGCUAGUUUGCCUACCUGUGACCCUGAGAGUGAGAGUGUUUGCUGAGUAGAAAUGAAAUCCAAUUCUCCCAUUCUCUGUGGUGAGAUGGCUAAGAAGCUCUCAUGGAAGGGAAUUCAUUGGGAACCAGGCUGCCUGGGAACUGAUACUGCCAGAUGGCAGAGUAGUCAAAACAGUUAGCUAUAAAGCCCACACUGUUUUGGAAAAGGCUGAACUUGCAUCCCUGCUGCAGACCUCAGUGGGCUCCCAUCUAAUGUUUCCUGCCUCCUCUGCCUUUUGCCUCAGUUGAUCAUGGGUGACUCAGUGCUCAUCUCUGGCAAUUCACUCUUUGCAGGGAUUUAUCUUUCUGAACCAGCCUCCUCUCUGGCCUUCUAUUAAAAUAUAUUCUAUGUCAACAGAAGAGUCUUGACUGUAUUUCUAUGGGAGAGUUUCUCUACCUUACUUUUCAUGCAAUGUGGGAUUUUUCAUACCUAAUAAAAAUCUUUUUUUUUUUUUUUUUUUUGAGACAGGUUCUCACUCUGUAGUCCAGGCUGGAAGUGCAGUGGUGGAUCUUGGCUCACUGCAACCUCCGCCUCUCAGGCUCAGGUGAUCCUCCCACCUCAGCCUCCCAAGUACCUGGGACCACAGGCAAGUGCUAUCACACCUGGCUAAUUUUUGUGUUUUUUUGUAGAGACAGGGUUUCGCCACGUUGCCCAGGCUGGUCUAAAAUUCCUGACCUCAAGUAAUCCACCUACUUCGGCCUCCCAAAGUGCUGGGAUUACAGGCAUGAGCCACUGUGCCCAGACCUAAUAAUAAUCUUUUAGCUAAACAGAAGAGUGACCAUGCUCUCCAUCUUACAGAUAGGGGAAGUGACUGAGAGAACUGACUUGCCUCAGGUUUCCAGAGUAGUAAGUGGCAGAGCAUAAAUUUGGACCUCUUAUUUGUCUUUUCUAACACACUAGGGGUUGUUAAUUUGUUUGAAAAAUAUUUAAUGAUUUGAGCAAGAUUGCACGGCUUCAUGCCUCCCUCUAAAAUCAAAAUGUUCUUUUUCUAUAGAAACCAAGAGCAGUAUCUACAGUAGAAAGAGCUUUGCUCUCAUUUUUUUAUUUAAAAAAGUGUUUAUUUCAAAUAGAUUGAAUCACUAGGUGAUGGGCUGAUUCUUUCAAAAAAAUUUAAUGACCUCCCCAUUAUACAAACAAUAAAUGUUUAUUGCAGUAACUUUAAAAAAGUUAGAAAGCCACAAAGGGAAAAAUAAAAAUCACCUAUAAUUCACCCACCCAGAUAUAAUUGCUAUUGACAUGUUGAUACGUAUUCCUCCAAUCUUUUUCAUACACAUGUAAAUGUAGUUUAACAGAUUGGAAGAAAUGUGCUAUAAAAUGGUUGAUAACUUACUUUUUUAUUUAAUGAUACUUCCAUGACCAUUUUCUAACAUUGUUAAAUUUUUUCCAAAAUAUGUUUGAUCAGAGCAUACUGUCUAACCUAUGAAUGAUACACCUACUGCACAUAACCUAUUGGUACUUUGAGAUUAUUACCCAUUUUUUUAUUAUUAUAAAUAACACUACAGGCUGGGUACGGUGGCUCACACCUGUAAUCCCAGCACUUUGGGAGGCUUGAGAUGGGCAGAUCACUUGAGGUUGGGAGCUUGAGACUGGCCUGGCCAACAUGGUGAAACCCCAUCUCUACUAAAAAUACAAAAAUUAGCCAGGCAUGGUGGCACACGCCUGUAAUUCCAGCUACUCGGGAGGCUGAGGCAGGAGAAUCACUUGAACCUGGGAGACAGAGGUUGCAGUGAGCUGAGAUUGUACUACU
rnacentral:lncRNA from 10 species